rnacentral:rRNA from 1 species
UAGGGAAUCUUCCGCAAUGGGCGAAAGCCUGACGGAGCAACGCCGCGUGAGUGAUGAAGGUCUUCGGAUCGUAAAACUCUGUUAUUAGGGAAGAACAAAUGUGUAAGUAACUAUGCACGUCUUGACGGUACCUAAUCAGAAAGCCACGGCUAACUACGUGCCAGCAGCCGCGGUAAUACGUAGGUGGCAAGCGUUAUCCGGAAUUAUUGGGCGUAAAGCGCGCGUAGGCGGUUUUUUAAGUCUGAUGUGAAAGCCCACGGCUCAACCGUGGAAGGUCAUUGGAAACUGGAAAACUUGGGUGCAGAAGAGGAAAGUGGAAUUCCAUGUGUAGCGGUGAAAUGCGCAGAGAUAUGGAGGAACACCAAUGGCGAAGGCGACUUUCUGGUCUGUAACUGACGCUGAUGUGCGAAAGCGUGGGGAUCAAACAGG